AGUUCAUGUUGGAUGCUGAACCUCAUCUAUGGGAUAAUCUGGCAAUUUCAUUUGGUCCAAGAAUCUUGAAGUUUAAGAAAAAGCCCUUUCCUCUUUAUGAGACACUUGCAAAUCUCUACCAUAAACACACCGCUGAGGG